UAUUUUUGAUAUCAUUUUUCAUCUCAUUUCAUCUCAAUUCAUCUCAUCAUUUCAUCUCCUCAUCUCAUCAUUUCCUCCUUUCAUUACAACAUUUCAUCUCAUUUCUUCUCAUCUCAUUUCAAUUUCAUUAUUUCAUUAUGUCAUUUCAUAUAAUCUCAUUUCAUUUCAUCUCAUAUUUUUGAUAUCAUUUUUCAUCUCAUUUCAUCUCAAUUCAUCUCAUCAUUUCAUCUCCUCAUCUCAUCAUUUCCUCCUUUCAUUACAACAUUUCAUCUCAUUUCUUCUCAUCUCAUUUCAAUUUCAUUAUUUCAUCUCAUUUCAUUAUUUCACCUAAUUUCAUUAUUUCAUCUCAUCUCAUCUCAGUUCAUCUGAUCUCAUUUCAUCUCAGCAUUUCAU
rnacentral:lncRNA from 1 species